rnacentral:rRNA from 1 species
GUGGGGAAUAUUGGGCAAUGGGGGAAACCCUGACCCAGCAACGCCGCGUGAAGGAAGAAGGUUUUCGGAUCGUAAACUUCUAUCCUUGGUGAAGAUAAUGACGGUAGCCAAGAAGGAAGCCCCGGCUAACUACGUGCCAGCAGCCGCGGUAAUACGUAGGGGGCAAGCGUUGUCCGGAAUGAUUGGGCGUAAAGGGCGCGUAGGCGGCCUGGUAAGUCUGGAGUGAAAGUCCUGCUUUUAAGGUGGGAAUUGCUUUGGAUACUGUCGGUCUUGAGUGCAGUAGAGGUAAGCGGAAUUCCCGGUGUAGCGGUGAAAUGCGUAGAGAUCGGGAGGAACACCAGUGGCGAAGGCGGCUUACUGGACUGUAACUGACGCUGAGGCGCGAAAGUGUGAGGAGCAAACAGGAUUAGAUACCCUUGUAGUCC